rnacentral:rRNA from 1 species
UACAGAGGUCCCAAGCGUUGUUCGGAUUCAUUGGGCGUAAAGGGUGCGUAGGCGGCGCGGUAAGUCGGGUGUGAAAUCUCGGAGCUUAACUCCGAAACUGCAUUCGAUACUGCUGUGCUUGAGGACUGGAGAGGAGACUGGAAUUUACGGUGUAGCAGUGAAAUGCGUAGAGAUCAUGAGGAAGACCAGUGGCGAAGGCGGGUCUCUGGACAGUUCCUGACACUGAGACACAAAGGCCAGGGGAGCAAACGGG